rnacentral:rRNA from 1 species
AUUGAACGCUGGCGGCAUGCCUUACACAUGCAAGUCGAACGGCAGCACGGGGCCACCUGGUGGCGAGUGGCGAACGGGUGGGUAAUGCAUCGGAACGUACCUUUCAGUGGGGGAUAACGUAGCGAAAGUUACGCUAAUACCGCAUAUUCUGUCAGCAGGAAAGCAGGGGAUCGCAAGACCUUGCGCUGAUCGAGCGGCCGAUGUCAGACUAGCUAGUUGGUGAGGUAAAGGCUCACCAAGGAGACGAUCUGUAGCGGGUCUGAGAGGAUGAUCAGCCACACUGGAACUGAGAAACGGUGCAGACUCGUACGGGAGGCAGCAGUGGGGAAUUUUGGACAAUGGGGGCAACCCUGAUCCAGCCAUGCCGCGUGAGUGAAGAAGGGCUUCGGGUUGUAAAGCUCUUGCGGCCGGGAAGAAAUCGCACGGGCUAAUACCCUGUGUGGAUGACGGUACCGGAAUAAGAAGCACCGGCUAACUACGUGCCAGCCGCCGCGGUAACAC